CACACUAUCAUUAACUGAAUCCAUAGGUUAAUGAGGCGAACCGGGGGAACUGAAACAUCUAAGUACCCCGAGGAAAAGAAAUCAACCGAGAUUCCCCCAGUAGCGGCGAGCGAACGGGGAGGAGCCCAGAGCCUGAAUCAGUGUGUGUGUUAGUGGAAGCGUCUGGAAAGGCGCGCGAUACAGGGUGACAGCCCCGUACACAAAAAUGCACAUGCUGUGAGCUCGAUGAGUAGGGCGGGACACGUGGUAUCCUGUCUGAAUAUGGGGGGACCAUCCUCCAAGGCUAAAUACUCCUGACUGACCGAUAGUGAACCAGUACCGUGAGGGAAAGGCGAAAAGAACCCCGGCGAGGGGAGUGAAAAAGAACCUGAAACCGUGUACGUACAAGCAGUGGGAGCACAGAGCAAUCUGUGUGACUGCGUACCUUUUGUAUAAUGGGUCAGCGACUUAUAUUCUGUAGCAAGGUUAACCGAAUAGGGGAGCCGAAGGGAAACCGAGUCUUAACUGGGCGUUAAGUUGCAGGGUAUAGACCCGAAACCCGGUGAUCUAGCCAUGGGCAGGUUGAAGGUUGGGUAACACUAACUGGAGGACCGAACCGACUAAUGUUGAAAAAUUAGCGGAUGACUUGUGGCUGGGGGUGAAAGGCCAAUCAAACCGGGAGAUAGCUGGUUCUCCCCGAAAGCUAUUUAGGUAGCGCCUCGUGAAUUCAUCUCCGGGGGUAGAGCACUGUUUCGGCAAGGGGGUCAUCCCGACUUACCAACCCGAUGCAAACUGCGAAUACCGGAGAAUGUUAUCACGGGAGACACACGGCGGGUGCUAACGUCCGUCGUGAAGAGGGAAACAACCCAGACCGCCAGCUAAGGUCCCAAAGUCAUGGUUAAGUGGGAAACGAUGUGGGAAGGCCCAGACAGCCAGGAUGUUGGCUUAGAAGCAGCCAUCAUUUAAAGAAAGCGUAAUAGCUCACUGGUCGAGUCGGCCUGCGCGGAAGAUGUAACGGGGCUAAACCAUGCACCGAAGCUGCGGCAGCGACACUGUGUGUUGUUGGGUAGGGGAGCGU
rnacentral:rRNA from 1 species